UACGGAAGGGGCAAGCGUUGUUCGGAAUCAUUGGGCGUAAAGGGCGCGUAGGUGGCUCUGUAUGUCUGCCGUGAAAGCAUACAGCUCAACUGUAUUGUGUCGGUAGAAACUGCAGGACUUGAGGCUGGGAGGGGCUGGUGGAAUUCCCUGUGUAGCGGUGAAAUGCGUAGAGAUGGGGGAGAACACUCGUGGCGAAGGCGGCCAGCUAGACCAGUUCUGACACUGAGGCGCGACAGCGUGGGAGCAAACAGG
rnacentral:rRNA from 1 species